UACAGGGGGUGCAAGCGUUAAUCGGAAUUACUGGGCGUAAAGCGCGCGUAGGUGGUUCGUUAAGUUGGAUGUGAAAUCCCCGGGCUCAGCCUGGGAACUGCAUUCAAAACUGUCGAGCUAGAGUAUGGUAGAGGGUGGUGGAAUUUCCUGUGUAGCGGUGAAAUGCUUAGAUAUAGGAAGGAACACCAGUGGCGAAGGCGACCACCUGGACUAAUACUGACACUGAGGUGCGAAAGCGUGUGGAGCAAACAGG
rnacentral:rRNA from 1 species